rnacentral:rRNA from 1 species
GACGUAGGGCGCAAGCGUUGUCCGGAUUUAUUGGGCGUAAAGAGCGUGUAGGCGGCUGGGUAGGUCUGCUGUGAAAACUCGAGGCUCAACCUCGAGACGUCGGCGGAAACCAUCUGGCUAGAGUCCGGAAGAGGAGAGUGGAAUUCCUGGUGUAGCGGUGAAAUGCGCAGAUAUCAGGAAGAACACCCGUGGCGAAGGCGGCUCGCUGGGACGGUACUGACGCUAAGGCGCGAAAGCGUGGGGAGCGAACAGG